GGUGGCUCUGUUUUCCUUUUUGAGGAACCUCCACAUGGAUAUCCACAGUAGUUGCACCAGUGUGCGCUCCUACCACAGUGGGUAAAACAUCUUUCCCGGCAUCUUUUGUGUGCAGUCCCACCAGAGCAGAUGCUAAAGCAUAUGGGUCACUAGACAACCUCAACAAGUGGCAUGGCACAGCCAUGGGCAAGCUGGGGGUGGCCAAGGACUCCAUUGCUUGAUGGAAAAGGAACAGCAGGAAGAUCACAAUGAACACCUCAGAUUCGAGUUUCUUUGAGCAGACAGACCCAGCAGAGAGACCUGGCACGCUGCUGUGAACUCUUUCGGAGGAGGUAGUCAGAACCACAGAUGAACAUCACUUCACUCCACCUGACUUCAGGGCAUGACAGGAGGCAGCAGAUCCAUAGAAGAUGGGGAGAUCCUUGUUCCAUAUAUGUUGCAGAUCACUUCUUCACCCACCUUAGAGUCAACCCACCAAGAAGAUGGGGAGAUCCUUGUUCCAUAUAUGUUGCAGAUCACUUCUUCACCCACCUUAGAGUCAAUUCAAGGCUGUAUCCCAGAAUAAGAAUAAGGACCUGCUAUGGAAGCUGGAGCUACUGCAGUCAGAACUGACAGAGCUGAGGGACCAAACUUCAGCACAUUCAAUUAUCACUACAGGCAGAGAAAGAGGUCCAGACACAUGUGUAUACAUCAAGUGCAAGCUCAGGAUGAACCGGUCACCAUGUUAUUCUUGAGCCAGACAAGCUGCAGACAGACAUGGAGAAUCAAUGAUAAUGUGACAACGGACCCUAGGAGGACCAAAUGGAAGAUUCUGGAAAUUUGUCCAACAGCAGCGCAAGAUUCUGUGCUGGGGAUUGAAGAAAGCUCCCACCCCACCCAGAGGUGAAUAUGGUCCAGUACAAAGACUUUCAGGAGGGUGACAUGAUUGUUAUAAAUUGUGACAGCAUGUGGUACAGGUGCCCAGAG
ensembl:lncRNA